rnacentral:rRNA from 1 species
CCCUUAGAUGUUCUGGGCUGCACGCGCGCUACACUGACUGACUCAACGAGUUUACAACCUUUUCCGGAAGGAAUGGGUAAUCUUUUGAACGUCAGUCGUGAUGGGGAUAGAUUAUUGCAAUUAUUAAUCUUCAACGAGGAAUUCCUAGUAAUCGCAAGUCAUCAGCUUGCGAUGAUUACGUCCCUGCCCUUUGUACACACCGCCCGUCGCUCCUACCGAUUGAGUGAUCCGGUGAGUGCUCUGGAGCCGUGUCAGUUUCACGACUGACUUGUGCGAAAUUGUACAAACCUUAUCACUUAGAGGAAGGAGAAGUCGUAACA